AACGAACGCUGGCGGCAGGCCUAACACAUGCAAGUCGAACGAACCUUUUAGGGUGAGUGGCGCACGGGUGUCGUAACGCGUGGGAAUAUGCCCUUAGGUGAGGAAUAACGUAGAGAAAUUUGCGCUAAUACCUCAUAAUGACUCCGGUCCAAAGAUUUAUCGCCUAAGGAUUAGCCCGCGUUCAGAUUAGAUAGUUGGUGAGGUAACGGCUCACCAGUCGACGAUCUGUAGGGGUCUGAGAGGAUGAUCCCCCACACU
rnacentral:rRNA from 1 species